AACGAACGCUGGCGGCAUGCUUAACACAUGCAAGUCGAACGAGACCUUCGGGUUUAGUGGCGCACGGGUGCGUAACGCGUGGGAAGCUGCCCUUAGGUUCGGAAUAACUCCCCGAAAGGGGAGCUAAUACCGGAUAAUGUAUUCGGACCAAAGAUUUAUCGCCUUUGGAUGGGCCCGCGUCAGUUUCGCUAGUUGGUAGUGGAAUAGCAUACCAUGGCAUCGUUCCAUAGCUGGUAUGAGAGGAUGAUCAACCCCACUGGAACUACGACACGGCCCAGACUCCGACGGAGGGCCGCAGACUGGCAUAUCAUCCGAUGCGCGCUAACCGGGCCCCGCACUGUCGCGUAGGAGAUCAUGCCAUUAGUGUAGUAAAUUUCCCUUCGCCGGAGUGAUAAUGACAGUACCGGGUUAAGAAGCACCGGCUAACUCCGUG
rnacentral:rRNA from 1 species